AUGGAUUUAUGGAGCAGAGAAACAGUAACACACGAUAUUUUUCCUCAUAACGGGGAGAAAAACGGGAGACGUGAAUUUUCUGCACAAAGAAAUGUACAGUUUGCACAAAAUUAUUCUCAUCAGAAAAAAAGAAUGGGGCAGAAAACUCAUUCUAACACACAGAAAAAAUCAAAAUACUCUCCUGCUUCUCCCACAUUUCGGAAUGUGAUCAAAAAUAUGUAUCAUCUGAUCCGAUCGGUCCAUCACCUCAGUAACAUCGACACACGUGUCGAGAAUAAUCAACCUGUCACUUUGAAGAGAUUAACUGAAUUACUGAAGAGCGUGAUAAAACCCUUUGCCCCCACAAUGUCCACAAAAGAAAUGCUGGAGGGCAAUGCAAGGAAUUGGGCAUUCACGACACAGUUGGUGUUACAGCAACACUAUGAGGACAUUAUACAGCACACAUUAGGGAUUUUACGAGGAGAAACACAGAGAACGGACUGGUUACAUGCCUUUGAGAUUGCUGUUAAAUGGGCUAUGCGAAAUUUCGGCAAGAGGAUCUCCCAGAGGGCAAUUCAGCAGGCCGAAACUUUGGUCCUGACCGAAUUGCGCUCUGGGACUCCCUCUGGGUCAAAAGGACCAUCAGCUUCUGGGGCAGAUAACAACAGAACAUUUGCUCAGGUGGUCAGUGGUGUAACUCCAGCCCCAGUCCAGCAGGGGACAGAAAUGAUCAGUACAGAGGUGGUCAGACCUAAAACAGGGGUCACACAUAUCCAGGUACAAACAUCACCCACUUUAAUGUCAGGCUGGUCUCCCAUGAGAAAUGACUGGCUUUUGGGAGAUGAUUUUCCACCUUUGAGCCCCCCUAUACAGGCCCCCGUACAGUCCCCUCGUGGGAAAAGGAAAGAGAAGAAAAAACACCUGACAGAGCAGAGCCAAAAAAAAAACCAUCAGUCGUUACAGAGCAUUCUGAAAAAAAUCUCCUAGUGGAUUUUGAGGACGAUGAUGAUGAUGAGGAUCAGUUGACUCCUGCACAGGGGAAUAGACUGGAAGAUUUAGAUGAGAUUACAAAUCAUCUGUCACAGGAACUUUUCUCUCCUCUUGCCCCUUCGGAAGCUGACGCCCCGAAGGCCACUGGCCUGCUUUCUUUGUUCCCCCAUGGUACCCAGUACAGUGCACACAGUAAAUCCACUAUUGGAUACAACUGAGAGGGCCCAGAUCCUCCAAAGCCCCUCUGUGUCACCAAAUCUUUCAGACUUUGACCUCUCAGUAUAUUCGUUGACAACUCUUCAACCAGAAGCUCCUCAGGAGGUAGAGAGCAGUGAAUCUUCCGAAAAAAUGGAAGAGAAUAUCUCUGAAACAGAUAAAUGCAGAAAAGCAGAAAAAAUCAGUAAAUCAGAUAAAUGCAGAAAAGCAGAAAAAAUCAGUAAAUCAGAUGAAACCACUGUAGCUGACAAUCAGGGUCAAAGGUCAACACAUAAGCCAUACAUGCACCUAAGCACCAACAAAAAAUUCAAUGAGUGGAAAUUAACACUCAAGGAAAAGCAUGUGAUUAUCGGUGACUCUAAUUUGGGCAGAAUCCCCACUUUUGACAUCCAAGAUUUACAGAUUGACAGCUUUCCAGGUGCUAAAUUACAGCACGCUGCCAACUUGAUAGAAAAAGCUACAGUAGGGACCAAGGUAGAAAAAAUAGUCUUGGCAUUUGGCUUGAAUAACCGCACACAAAGACUACGUAUUUCAGCCAUGAGAGAGUGUGCUAGAGUGAGUCAGGUGACACAAGAAAAACUACCGGAUGCCCAAGUGUGGAUCCCCCUGAUAAAUAUUCCUCAAUCUCUCCCAGAAGGAGAAAAAAUCUUUUUAGACGAACUGAACAAUUACAUAGAGGAAAAUUAUUCCUUCAUCCCCCUUCUGCCAGAGGAGCAGUUUCAGGUGGAAAGAGACGGCCUACACUGGACUGCAGAGACAGCCAGGAACAUGUUAGAGCACUGGACACGAUAUUUAAACUUGUAGUGAGUGAACACCCGAGAAAGGGUGCACACAGGCUUGUUGUGAAUCUUUCUAAGCAUUUUAGUAUCUCUCCCUCACAGUCAUCCCUUCUCAUGAAAGGCCUCACAUUUAUUCCAUCUGUCCAAAAAAUGAAAGAUUUCAAACAUCAGCUCAGAUUAGAUUUACAAAAAUAUCUCAUAGAAGAAUAAAAUUAGAGGUUUUUCUUUGAGGGCAAAAAAAGACUAAAAAAAACAAAGAUUAACUUUUUACGCACAACUCGGAUUGGACUCCGGCCUUGAGCAGACUUCCCAAACAAGUAGGCCAGCUGAUCACAGCUGAUGAGUACGCCUUUAAGAAUUUGAAUUGGAACUUGAAACCAAGGCCCAACCUCCAGAGAGAGGAACUGAGAGCCUUGAACACUCUUAAAAACCCCAGGGAAAUUGUUAUUAAACCUGCUGACAAGGGAAAUGCCAUCGUCAUCAUGGACAGAGAGCAGUAUGUCUGGGAGGGGGAGAGACAAUUAAACAUCAGUGACCACUAUAAACCCUUAGAAAAACCCAUUUAUUUGGAAACCAUGAAACAGAUUAGAAAAAUCUUAGAACAGAUGUAUGAUAGGGGUAUUAUCAACUCAAAACAGAGGGAAUAUUUAAGUGGCAGUGGCACUCCUAGAAUGAGAAGAUUUUAUUUAUUACCGAAGAUUCACAAGGAGCCCGAGAAAUGGAGUAUUCCACACGAGAUUCCACCCGGCAGACCCAUAGUGUCUGAUUGUAACAGUGAAACUUAUCAGACAGCUGAGUACAUCGAGUAUUUU
ensembl:lncRNA